AUGGACCCCUGCGCCUUCGUCCGCCUCACCGUGGACCAGCUCCUCCUCAAGCUCCCCGCCGUGCCGCGCCCCAGCUCCGGCGCCGCCGGCGUGCACCCCUCCACCUCCCCCUGCUUCUGCACGCUCCACCUCCAGGACCACCCUUCCUCCCUCUCCCGCACGGCGCCGCUGCCCCUCGCGUCCGCCUGCCUCCCUGGCGGGGCCUGCGGCGGCGACCCCGUCGUGCUCAGCCUCGACGCCGCCGCCGUGCAGAAGCUCUCGGGCCGCCCCGUCGAGCUCGUCGUCACCGUGCACGCGGGCCAGUCCAAGGGGAGCACGAGCACCGGCUGUGGCGUGGGCGCCAGCCGCGCCCUCGGGAAGGUGCGCGUGGCCGUCGACGUGGCGCGCGCCGCGGCCGGGGAGACCGUCGUGGCGCGCGACGGGUGGGUGGACGUGGGGAAGCCGGCGUCGUCGGCCGCGCGCGCGCAGAUCCACAUGCUCGUGCGGGCCGAGCCCGACCCGCGCUACGUCUUCCAGUUCGGGGGCGAGCCGGAGUGCGGCCCCGUCGUCUACCAGGUGCCUGGCGGAAGCGCCGGCGGCGGGCAGCGGCAGCCGGUGUUCACCUGCCGGUUCAGUGCUGGCCGGAGGGCAGCUAGGACCAGAUCUCUGACGUCGGAAUCGUCCAUGACCCGGAGCCCCAGCCGGAGGCUGCGAUCGUGGCUGAGCACGCUGCACGGCGACGGGGACAAGCGUGCGCAGCGCGACCAGCGCAAGGGGUGGAUGGUGACCAUCCACGACCUCUCCGGCUCCCCGGUGGCGGCGGCGUCCAUGGUCACCCCGUUCGUGCCGUCCCCGGGCUCCGGCCGCGUCUCCCGCGCCAACCCGGGCGCCUGGCUCAUCCUCCAGCCCACCGGCGCCGGUGCGUCCAGCUGGAAGCCGUGGGCGCGGCUGGAGGCGUGGCGGGAGCGCGGCCCCGUCGACGCGCUCGGCUACCGCCUCGAGCUCGUCUUCGACUCGGGCCCCGUCGAGUGCGCCGUCCCCAUCGCCCAGUCGUCCAUCAGCGCCAAGCGCGGCGGCCAGUUCGUGAUCGACCCGGCCACGUUCCCCGAGGGCUCCACCGGCGGUGCGUGGCCGUUCGCCGGCGGGUUCGUGAUGGGCUCGACGGUGGAGGGCGAGGGGAAGGCCAGCCGGCCCACCGUGCAGGUCGGCGUGCAGCACGUGGCGUGCAUGGGCGACGUGGCCGUGUUCAUCGCGCUGUCGGCUGCCGUCGAUCUCUGCAUGGACGCAUGCAAGCUCUUCUCGCACAGGCUCAGGAAGGAGCUGUGCCAGGACCAAGACGACUAG
rnacentral:rRNA from 1 species